UAGGGAAUCUUCGGCAAUGGGGGGAACCCUGUCCGAGCAACGCCGCGUGAGUGAAGAAGGUUUUCGGAUCGUAAAGCUCUGUUGUUAAGGAAGAACGAGUGUGAGAAUGGAAAGUUCAUACUGUGACGGUACUUAACCAGAAAGGGACGGCUAACUACGUGCCAGCAGCCGCGGUAAUACGUAGGUCCCGAGCGUUGUCCGGAUUUAUUGGGCGUAAAGCGAGCGCAGGCGGUUAGAAAAGUCUGAAGUGAAAGGCAGUGGCUCAACCAUUGUAGGCUUUGGAAACUGUUUAUCUUGAGUGCGGAAGGGGAGAGUGGAAUUCCAUGUGUAGCGGUGAAAUGCGUAGAUAUAUGGAGGAACACCGGUGGCGAAAGCGGCUCUCUGGUCUGUAACUGACGCUGAGGCUCGAAAGCGUGGGGAGCGAACAGG
rnacentral:rRNA from 1 species